rnacentral:tRNA from 1 species
UGGCUCAGCCUGUAAAAGCACCUGUUUGCAAUGCAGGAGACCAGGGUUCGAUCCCUG